rnacentral:rRNA from 1 species
GGAAUCGCUAGUAAUCGCGGAUCAGAAUGCCGCGGUGAAUACGUUCCCGGGUCUUGUACACACCGCCCGUCACACCAUGGGAGUCGGAAAUGCCCGAAGUCUGUGACCCAACCUGAGAGGGAGGGAGCAGCCGAAGGCAGGUCUGAUGACUGGGGUGAAGUCGUAACAAGGUAUC